UUUCCGUAGGUGAACCUGCGGAAGGAUCAUUCAUAAUACAGUGUUUUAUGGCACUUUUUAAAAAUCCAUAUCCACCUUGUGUGCAAUGUUAGAUCUCGUCAAUCUUGGCGAGAUUUUUAUACAUCAACUCAUUUUUUAACUAAUUUGUCUGAAAAAUAUUAUGAAUACUUAAUUCAAAAUACAACUUUCAACAACGGAUCUCUUGGCUCUC
rnacentral:misc_RNA from 1 species